rnacentral:rRNA from 1 species
GAUGAACGCUGGCGGCGUGCCUAAUACAUGCAAGUCGAACGCUGAAGGAGGAGCUUGCUCUUCUGGAUGAGUUGCGAACGGGUGAGUAACGCGUAGGUAACCUGCCUGGUAGCGGGGGAUAACUAUUGGAAACGAUAGCUAAUACCGCAUGACAACAGUUAUUGCAUGAUAACUGUUUAAAAGGGGCAACUGCUCCACUACCAGAUGGACCUGCGUUGUAUUAGCUAGUUGGUGAGGUAACGGCUCACCAAGGCGACGAUACAUAGCCGACCUGAGAGGGUGAGCGGCCACACUGGGACGGAGACACGGCCCAGACGCCUACGGGAGGCAGCAGUAGGGAAUCUUCGGCAAUGGACGGAAGUCUGACCGAGCAACGCCGCGGGAGUGAAGAAGGGUGUCGGAUCGUAAAGCUCGGUUGUAAGAGAAGAACGAGUGUGAGAGUGGAAAGUUCACACUGUGACGGUAACUGACCAGAAAGGGACGGCUAACUACGUG